UAUAUCUUAUUGAGCAUGAAAUGUCCUUGGAUCAAAGUUGGCUACAAAUAUGGUGUUAUGCAGAUGACAGAUGUAGUCUAUCUUGUAAAUUAUAAUAGAAGAAAUGAAGAAAAAAUUGAACAGAACCUGAAGUAUUGUGUACAUAACUCAUCACUUGUUACUUAUCUUCCAUCUAUUCCUUAUCUACUUGUCCCAUCUACUGACUGUCCUUCAUGUCCAGAUUCCUGUCUCAACUGCCAUAAUGACUUAGACUAUAAACUGAAGGAAAUUAUUUGUACAUCUGAUUUCAUUCUGAAGAUUGACAUCAAGAUGCUUCCUGGUUCACGUAAGUCAUCACAUGUAAUUUUGUAAUUCAUAUAGAUACAUCCCUU